rnacentral:rRNA from 1 species
UGGGGAAUAUUGGACAAUGGGGGCAACCCUGAUCCAGCAAUGCCGCGUGUGUGAAGAAGGUCUUCGGAUUGUAAAGCACUUUCGACGGGGACGAUGAUGACGGUACCCGUAGAAGAAGCCCCGGCUAACUUCGUGCCAGCAGCCGCGGUAAUACGAAGGGGGCUAGCGUUGCUCGGAAUGACUGGGCGUAAAGGGCGUGUAGGCGGUUUACACAGUCAGAUGUGAAAUCCCCGGGCUUAACCUGGGAGCUGCAUUUGGAU